UUUUAUCUUAUAAGGAUUCUAGUGCUAGUUAGAAAUCCAGGCCAUUGAAAUCAGACUAGUGGCCGCUCUCAUGCUUCUCUCUGACCAUAGAGAGAGUGUAGGCGCGCGAUUUAUGUGAUAGUGUUUGUUUGAGCUAGUGAUCUCUGUUGCAUUUCUGCAAAUUAUUACGUGUAUUGCUUUAUUUUAUAAAUCAGUAUGGCUACUUCGGUCAGUACGAAUCCGUCUACGUUGUUGCCUUUAGAAUUGGUGGAUAAAUGCAUCGGUUCCCGGAUACACAUCAUCAUGAAAAACGACAAAGAGAUCGUCGGCACUCUACAGGGAUUCGACGAUUUCGUAAACAUGUUACUGGAAGAUGUGACCGAGAGUGAGGCAACUCCUGAGGGCCGCAGAGUUACGAAGCUAGAUCAGAUCCUUUUGAAUGGCAGCAACAUCACAAUGUUGGUACCUGGUGGUGAAAUGCCAGAUACAUAAAAAGAAUUAUAUGCUACAUCCAAACCACUACUAUAAGACAAGAGCAACUAUAAUAUCAAUUUAACAACAAUUACUGCAACGUAGGCCUUUCUGCAACAUUCUGUGACCAUGUUGCCCUGUACAGCUCUCUGUAGUCUCCACCCAAUUCAUCAUCUAGAGCUUCAUCAUUGGGACGUGUUCCUUUUGCAGAGAUGUAUAUAAUGGUAUGGAUAUGUAAUCCAUGGAAGGGUACUUGCUGGGACAGCAUUUGCCAUGCUACGAUUCCUAGUGAGUAAAUGUCGGCAGCAAAUGUAGGUGUACUUCCUCUGAGCACCUCUGGUGCUGCAUAACCUGGUGUACCCUGGUGAGCAAAAACAGAAAAAGUUCUAAUGAGAAACUUGAUAAAGACCCAACAUUACAUACAGAGGAGAAGGUAGUAAUAUGAAACAAGACUAAUUUCUUAAACAAUUAUUGUAAUCUGUCUGUCAACUGAAAUAAAUAUUAUUAUUAAAUAUUA